AUUCAGAACUGAGAAUCAGUGCAGUUCCUCCUGUACAGAGCUGCACUGAAUGGAGCAGAACUGGCACAAACCUAGAACAAUGAGAGUUAAGCCAGGUCCUGUCAGUGGGAUGGUGGUCCUGUUUGCAAGAGAGGAAACUCGCUGAGUGGUUAAGGAGAAUGUUUACAGUGGCGUCACAGUGAUCUGCUUGGCCUAUCAGUCCUCCAAGUGGCAGAAGUGUUAAAAAACCAUAGCAUUACACUAUCACAGUUAUUAGUAUUUUAAAUAACUAUUACACUGUAUCAAAGUUUCUAAAAUGUACGUGUUUAUAUUUACAUGUUUAGAUUACACUAGUGAGCA